rnacentral:rRNA from 1 species
GAUGAACGCUGGCGGCGUGCCUAAUACAUGCAAGUCGAGCGAACGGACGAGAAGCUUGCUUCUCUGAUGUUAGCGGCGGACGGGUGAGUAACACGUGGAUAACCUACCUAUAAGACUGGGAUAACUUCGGGAAACCGGAGCUAAUACCGGAUAAUAUUUUGAACCGCAUGGUUCAAAAGUGAAAGACGGUCUUGCUGUCACUUAUAGAUGGAUCCGCGCUGCAUUAGCUAGUUGGUAAGGUAACGGCUUACCAAGGCAACGAUGCAUAGCCGACCUGAGAGGGUGAUCGGCCACACUGGAACUGAGACACGGUCCAGACUCCUACGGGAGGCAGCAGUAGGGAAUCUUCCGCAAUGGGCGAAAGCCUGACGGAGCAACGCCGCGUGAGUGAUGAAGGUCUUCGGAUCGUAAAACUCUGUUAUCAGGGAAGAACAUAUGUGUAAGUAACUGUGCACAUCUUGACGGUACCUAAUCAGAAAGCCACGGCUAACUACGUGCCAGCAGCCGCGGUAAUACGUAGGUGGCAAGCGUUAUCCGGAAUUAUUGGGCGUAAAGCGCGCGUAGGCGGUUUUUUAAGUCUGAUGUGAAAGCCCACGGCUCAACCGUGGAGGGUCAUUGGAAACUGGAAAACUUGAGUGCAGAAGAGGAAAGUGGAAUUCCAUGUGUAGCGGUGAAAUGCGCAGAGAUAUGGAGGAACACCAGUGGCGAAGGCGACUUUCUGGUCUGUAACCGACGCUGAUGUGCGAAAGCGUGGGGAUCAAACAGGAUUAGAUACCCUGGUAGUCCACGCCGUAAACGAUGAGUGCUAAGUGUUAGGGGGUUUCCGCCCCUUAGUGCUGCAGCUAACGCAUUAAGCACUCCGCCUGGGGAGUACGACCGCAAGGUUGAAACUCAAAGGAAUUGACGGGGACCCGCACAAGCGGUGGAGCAUGUGGUUUAAUUCGAAGCAACGCGAAGAACCUUACCAAAUCUUGACAUCCUUUGACAACUCUAGAGAUAGAGCUUUCCCCUUCGGGGGACAAAGUGACAGGUGGUGCAUGGUUGUCGUCAGCUCGUGUCGUGAGAUGUUGGGUUAGGUCCCGCAACGAGCGCAACCCUUAAGCUUAGUUGCCAUCAUUAAGUUGGGCACUCUAAGUUGACUGCCGGUGACAAACCGGAGGAAGGUGGGGAUGACGUCAAAUCAUCAUGCCCCUUAUGAUUUGGGCUACACACGUGCUACAAUGGACAAUACAAAGGGCAGCGAAACCGCGAGGUCAAGCAAAUCCCAUAAAGUUGUUCUCAGUUCGGAUUGUAGUCUGCAACUCGACUACAUGAAGCUGGAAUCGCUAGUAAUCGUAGAUCAGCAUGCUACGGUGAAUACGUUCCCGGGUCU